rnacentral:rRNA from 7 species
GAGCACAGCUGGGCCUCCUCUGAUCUCUGGAGCCUUUAGGGUGGGCCUGGCUAGUACUUGGCUGGGAAGCUGCCUGGGAAUACCGGGUGCUGUCCCUC